UGUAGAUAUUUAGAAAUCAGAAAAGAUAGCUUAAAUGUAUUAUUCUCAAAUCUCAAUAGAUACGGAUCCACUUUGAUAUUAUACUGAUUUCUUAUUUGGAUUUGGACAGAUUAAAGAAUGAAUAUAACAAUUAACACAGGUCAAUAAUUCAAAAUCACAUUAAUUAAUAAUAGUUAAUAUUUUAAUCACCAUUCAUAUCAUCAUCAAUUAUACAGUCCAAGAAAGCGAAUCUAAUAAUGUAAUUGAACACAACCAAUCAUCCAAUGAUGCGAUGAGAACCACUUUUUUUGGAGUAAAUUAAUUUUAUAAAAGGAAAGAGUUAGACAAAAGACAAUGGAGAAAACAGAAAUACCCAAAAGACGAUGGAUCAGUGAGGGACCGAUCCAACCUCUGUACAAGGUGAAUAGCUUGUGAAUCAAAGAAACAUGAAAAUUUGCAGAUAUGUUCAACCUCCCACAGACCACAUCAAAAGAUGACAAAGGACGGAAGUUCCUUUGGCCUUUGCUUUGCCCAAUAAUAAUAAGUGUGGAUUGGUGACUACUGACUACUCACCUACCUAUCCAGGAUGGCAUGCAAUCAGAACCAAUAAGAGAAAAAAGAAUAACACAAACUUAGUGGUUAUGUAUGUAGUCAUCUCUACUUACUGUUCUCACCUUCUAGGUUUCUACAAACAGUAUAGCCCAGUUGCCUGAUAUCGCCAGAUGAGCACACCUGUCAAAAAACAAGGGAAAAACAAGAUUACAAUUAAUUAUGCAUUGAGGUAAAUUGACUAUGAAAAAAAACGAUUACAUCAUUUCAGAGUGUAAACAAAGUUAUUCAUCCAUCCAUGAUCUAUGAAUUAUACAGUAAUUAUUGAGUUGUUUUCAAACAAUGUUAUCAAAAACUUACUGAUUUCAAUAAAGUCUCUAAUUAUAUAUAUAUUUUUUCAUACCAAAAGCCCACAAGUCACAACAGCUAAGCUAUGCAAAGGGAUCAUUAUUUAUCAUUUGGGGAUUGAUGGAGUUGUGUUUAACCACUUGUCUCACACAUGCCUAGGGUUUGAACAGAGAUUUAGAGUUUAACUAAAGAGAAGUAACAGAACUUCAAAAUUCAGGUAUCAAUCUAGAUAAUAGAAUAGAGCUCACCUUAAUAUAACACUUUAAUUUAAUACAUGAGUCCAUACUCCAAUACUGAGUACUGACCAAUGACCAUAGUUUUUUUUUUUAAUUAUUGGCAGUUUGGCACCUAUUUAAAGAAUUUUAAAUACUAAAAAUUGAAAUAAUAAAUAGAGGAUAAAAAAAUCUCUUACCAAAUGGGCCAAAUCAAUAUAAAUCUUCAUCUUCCCUUUUAAGUUGGAUUUCAUUUUUUUUCCUGGUCUUCUUCUGGUUGUUAUCACUGAUUCCCAAAGGAAGAAUGAGAACACCAACGGAUGACAUGGUGGAAAACAGCAACAAUCAC
rnacentral:lncRNA from 1 species